CAUCAUACCAUUCUGUACAAUGUCUUGCGUGCCAUUCCUACGUGCUUGAGCAGGGAUGAGUGGCUUGCUGUGCUCCCACGUGCGCUUGUUGGAGCAUUUGUCAAGACAGACAAGGAUUUCCAGAGAGUAGGUUGGACCUCUGAGAUGUCGGCCAGGUGGCUUGUGCCUAUCUAGAUCAAUAGGGGAUUUUGCUGUUGGUGAAUGCAUCAUCCCUGUUCCACAUGUUAAGCAAGUGAAGCUUUCCAAUGCUGGAGGCAGAAUUAUCAUCGCGAGUGAUGGCAUUUGGGAUGAUUUGACUUGUGAAAUGGCUCUUGACUGUUCUUGUGAGUUCCCAUCAGAUGUUGCUGCCAGUAAACUUAAUCGAAUUGUCUGUCUUGAGUAUCUGCUCAAGUUGUAUCAAUUUAUCUUGUAAAGUUGAUAAUGAUCAUGUACCUAUUUUGCAUUUAAUCAUGAGUUCCUUGCUAAAUGGGGAACAGGGAGCAUGCUACUUGCUCGUUGACACAGA